GGGCAAGUUCUACACAACCAGCUCCUGUUUAAUUCCCCCAGGGUGGUAACACAGCAAGGGUAGAUGGUCGUAGCGGUGUGAUGUGGGUCGCUUGCCCUUU
rnacentral:SRP_RNA from 1 species